AAGGAAAGAGAGGGGAAGGAAGGAGAACAGGAAAGGAGGAAAGAGAGGGAGGGUAGGAGGGAGAGAAAUGAAGUAAAAGACGAAAGCAAAGCAUGGAGAGCAGAAGGAGGGAGAGGAAGUCAGGAAAGGAAGAAAAAGGAAGGACAGGGAAGAAGAGGGAGGGAAGAGUGCUGAGAAAGUUGAUUUAACAAAACAGAUUUUUGGUCUCCACCUGGAAGGACCAGUUGUGCCCAGAGAACCUUCUCUGUCUCCUCUAACCAUGGGAUAAAAGGAGAUUUCCACAAGAGCGGCUCAGGGACGCAGCCCAUCUCUUAAGAAGGAGGCUCUGAGAGGGACAAGACCAUGGAUGCAGCACAUGGCCACAAGGCAGUUUCAAGAUGCCCAUGUCAGGCAGAGGAUGGCUCAGUGGUCUCUAACCCACCUAACAUUUCAUGAACUUUACUCCUGGUCCCGCUCCCAAAUUAGACACUGGAGAUAAUGGAUCACUAUACUGCACUGAAGACUCGGAGGGGUUGAGCCGCUGGAGCCACGCAAAUUCAGACACCUCUUCCGCCCCAGGUCACUCUACUCGCCCACGCUGCCUGCCACACCCAUCCGGUUGUGCGGGACACUCCCCGCGUUUCUUCAGCGAUUCUUAUCGGGCUCCCUCCUUGUUCAAUAAAGGUGAAGGGUGUGGGGUUUUCUGUGCAUACGCUC
rnacentral:lncRNA from 1 species